rnacentral:rRNA from 1 species
GAUGAACGCUGGCGGCGUGCCUAAUACAUGCAAGUCGAGCGGCAGCGCGAGUAGUUUACUACUUGGCGGCGAGCGGCGGACGGCUGAGUAACACGUAGGAACGUACCCCAAAGUGAGGGAUAACUGCUCGAAAGAGUAGCUAAUACCGCAUGUGAUCUAAGGAUUAAAGCUUCGGCGCUUUGGGAACGGCCUGCGUAUGAUUAGUUUGUUGGUGAGGUAAUGGCUCACCAAGACUACGAUCAUUAGCUGGUCUGAGAGGAUGAUCAGCCAGACUGGGACUGAGACACGGCCCAGACUCCUACGGGAGGCAGCAGUAGGGAAUUUUCCACAAUGGGCGAAAGCCUGAUGGAGCAACGCCGCGUGCAGGAUGAAUGCCUUAGGGUUGUAAACUGCUUUUAUAUGUGACGAUUAUGACGGUAGCAUAUGAAUAAGGAUCGGCUAACUCCGUGCCAGCAGCCGCCGUAAAAC